rnacentral:rRNA from 1 species
UAGGGAAUCUUCGGCAAUGGGGGGAACCCUGACUGAGCAACGCCGCGUGAGUGAAGAAGGUUUUCGGAUCGUAAAGCUCUGUUGUUAAGGAAGAACGAGUGUGAGAAUGGAAAGUUCAUACUGUGACGGUACUUAACCAGAAAGGGACGGCUAACUACGUGCCAGCAGCCGCGGUAAUACGUAGGUCCCGAGCGUUGUCCGGAUUUAUUGGGCGUAAAGCGAGCGGAGGCGGUUAGAUAAGUCUGAAGUUAAAGGCAGUGGCUCAACCAUUGUAGGCUUUGGAAACUGUUUAACUUGAGUGCAGAAGGGGAGAGUGGAAUUCCAUGUGUAGCGGUGAAAUGCGUGGAUAUAUGGAGGAACACCGGUGGCGAAAGCGGCUCUCUGGUCUGUAACUGACGCUGAGGCUCGAAAGCGUGGGGAGCGAACAGG